ACCUGUCGCGUGGGAGAGACCGGCCGAGCGCCGGCGCCGAAGGAGCAACCGCCCCGGAAACUCUCAGGCAAAAGGACCUCGCGGCAGAC
rnacentral:ncRNA from 2 species